UACAUGCAAAGUGUGUGGCACCAAGAUAAAUGAUGCUGGAUCAACAACGUCGGACUUCAUCAGGCAUCUAAAAACGCACCUAAAUAGGCAGUGUGGAUUAAACUUCUCAGAAUCAAAGUGUAAAGGGGUAAAAGUCUAAAUGGGUGGUCUGAAAGAAGAAAAGUUGGAAGUGGUCCAGUUUAUAGUGUGCUGUCAGUCUCAGCAGGCGUGCUCUGGAACAAGCUGCCGACUGGAGGAUCAACUUUAGAAAUGUCUCUGUGGAGGCGCUGGUGGCUGUUCAGCCGUAUUCUGCAAUAUUUAGUCUUGGUGCUGCAUCAUCAGCAAGGACAAGCUUUCCCUGUGUAAAGGCCUCAGCAUGCUUCCAUCAUGUGUCCACUCCAACCACACCUAAAGGCAACAGUGUGGACACCUGUUCCACAUGACCUCACUGCCAUGACCCUCUCUGCCUCCUCCAUUUUUCUCCAACAACUUUGUGUUUUGAAUUUCUUUGUAGUCUCUGAAAAGAUGAAUCUUACAGAUGUUGCACUCUGGACAGAAAAAAUUAUUGCAUCUUAUAACCAUUAUUUGAAAGCUGUCUCUCCUCAGUGAAGGCCAUCUCAAAGCUCUUAUUUCUGCAUUAAACAAAUUACACAACAUA